rnacentral:rRNA from 1 species
GAUGAACGCUGGCGGCGUGCCUAAUACAUGCAAGUCGAGCGAACGGACGAGAAGCUUGCUUCUCUGAUGUUAGCGGCGGACGGGUGAGUAACACGUGGAUAACCUACCUAUAAGACUUGGAUAACUUCGGGAAACCGGAGCUAAUACCGGAUAAUAUUUUGAACCGCAUGGUUCAAAAGUUAAAGACGUUCUUGCUGUCACUUAUAGAUGGAUCCGCGCUGCAUUAGCUAGUUGGUAAGGUAACGGCUUACCAAGGCAACGAUGCAUAGCCGACCUGAGAGGGUGAUCGGCCACACUGGAACUGAGACACGGUCCAGACUCCUACGGGAGGCAGCAGUAGGGAAUCUUCCGCAAUGGGCGAAAGCCUGACGGAGCAACGCCGCGUGAGUGAUGAAGGUCUUCGGAUCGUAAAACUCUGUUAUUAGGGAAGAACAUAUGUGUAAGUAACUGUGCACAUCUUGACGGUACCUAAUCAGAAAGCCACGGCUAACUACGUG